ACGGCGAGUGAAGAGGAAAGAGCUCAAAGUUGGAACCUGUUUGGCCUAGCUAAACUGGAUUGUAAACUGUAGAAGUGUUUUCCAGGCAAUCCGAAUUGAAAAGUCCUUUGGAACAGGGCAUCAUAGAGGGUGAGAAUCCCGUCUUUGAUUCGAGAUAAUUUUGUCUUUAUGCGAUACACUUUCAAAGAGUCAGGUUGUUUGGGAAUGCAGCCUAAAUUGGGUGGUAAAUCUCACCUAAAGCUAAAUAUUGGCGAGAAACCGAUAGCGAACAAGUACCGUGAGGGAAAGAUGAAAAGAACUUUGAAAAGAGAGUUAAACAGUAUGUGAAAUUGUUAAAAGGGAACCGUUUGGAGCCAGAUUGGCUUGUCUGUAAUCAUUCUAGGCUUCGUGCCUGGAUGCACUUGCAGGCUUGAUGCCUGCCAACGACAAUUUUGUUUGGGUGUAAAAACUAUUGGAAAUGUGGCCAAUAUUUAUUUAUUGGUGUUAUAGUCCUUUAGAAAAUAGCCUGGAUGGGAUUGAGGAACGCAGUGAAUGCUUCUUUAGGGAGGCAAAGUCAUUUAUAGGGAUUUUCGGAUCAGACUGUAGCAUUGUUGCAAGACUUGAUGUUUAAACCUAUUUAUGCUCUUUUAUUCACUUAGGUUGUUGGCUUAAUGACUCUAAAUGAC
rnacentral:rRNA from 1 species